GGAAGCAUGGCUGAGAGGCCGAAAGCAACGGCUUGCUAAGCCGCACGCUCGCAAGGGCGCCCAGGUUCGAAUCCUGGUGCUUCCGCCA
rnacentral:tRNA from 1 species